rnacentral:rRNA from 1 species
GACGAACGCUGGCGGCGUGCUUAACACAUGCAAGUCGAACGGAAAGGCCCUUCGGGGUACUCGAGUGGCGAACGGGUGAGUAACACGUGGGUGAUCUGCCCUGCACUUUGGGAUAAGCCUGGGAAACUGGGUCUAAUACCGAAUAGGACCACGCGCUUCAUGGUGUGUGGUGGAAAGCUUUUGCGGUGUGGGAUGGGCCCGCGGCCUAUCAGCUUGUUGGUGGGGUAAUGGCCUACCAAGGCGACGACGGGUAGCCGGCCUGAGAGGGUGACCGGCCACACUGGGACUGAGAUACGGCCCAGGCUCCUACGGGAGGCAGCAGUGGGGAAUAUUGCACAAUGGGCGCAAGCCUGAUGCAGCGACGCCGCGUGAGGGAUGACGGCCUUCGGGUUGUAAACCUCUUUCACCAGGGACGAAGCGUAAGUGACGGUACCUGGAGAAGAAGCACCGGCCAACUACGUG